GCGGCGGUAGCUCAGUUGGUAGAGCGCGAGCUUCCCAAGCUCGAGGUCGCGGGUUCGAGGCCCGUCCGCCGCU
rnacentral:tRNA from 1 species